GCAAAAUUGAAAGAAUUAAUUAAGGACCAAAUUGAAUAAUCCAGGAAUUAAGGACUGUUUUGUAAACAGUGCACCAAUUUAGGGAUUUAAGUGAAAUUUAUCCAAUAAAAGGGCAAAAUUAAAAGAAAUUUUUAAUUUUGCUUAAGGGUCCAAUUGCCAAAUUUCUAAAGUUCAGGGAUCAAAAUGGAAGUGUCCAUUGCUGUUUGAAACGUCGUCGUCGGUGGUAGAAUCCCUUGCUGCCAAAACGCCGCCGUUGUUGGUGGAACAACCGUGUGAUCUUCUUCAUCCCGAUUCAACCGGAGACCUGAAAAUCUGCAACAAAUUCAAUCGUGGACCGAGUCCCUUGCACACGAUCUCGUUCGUGGAGGAUACAGUCCUGCAAAGGCAGGACUGAUUAGAGGCAAGCUUGGGGAUCUCUAUAAAUGAGAGACUAAAAACCAGACACAGGAAGGAGGAAAAAGCCAGAAAAAAAGACGAAAGAAAAAGCCAGAAAAACAAAGAAGAAAAACAACAAAAACAGAGCAAUUCUGUCGCACCCGACAGAGCAAACAAAACACAAUCAAAAAAAGAAAAUACAGAGAGAGGAACGAAGACACAGGGGAAGGGGAAACAGAAAAAAAAAAUAGAGAGGCACACAGAAAUACAUAAAGAAAUAACACGCAGAGCAGGGGAGAAAAAGGGAAGCACACACACAGACAAGGAUUGAUUAUCCCUGCCAUCGUGUUAUCCCUGCAAAAACAAAAAAUAAAGACAACAAUCGGCAUCCACAGUAAACCGGCAUCUCCAUUGUUGUCUCCUUCGUCAUCUCAAAGUCUGUUAAAAACAAAAAGCAGACCGCGGGCACAAGAACGGAAAAAGCAGAAGAAAAGGUAUCAAGCAGGCGAAAGUCACCACCAGCGUUCCAGCCAGAAUCGUCCCCAUCGCCAGGUACGCGACUUCUUCCUCUUGCAUUGUUUCAGUAAUUGACAUUUACACUGUGCAUGAAUCAUGUGUUUUUAAAUGUAUGAAUAAUGGUAUGUAGUGAACUUGUUACUCAUAACUCAUGAAAUGCAUCUUUGCAAAGAAUAAACCAUCACAGUAUACGAGGUCAAAGUUUAUUGAUCAUAGCUGCUUGCGCUUGAAAUGAGGAAAUGCCAUCUUUGUUAUUCCUUUCACGUUCUAAAAUAAGUACAUCCCUUGCAAACCCUUUUUGAGCCUGAAUAAUUUUUCUUUCAUAAAAAAAAUCCCGACUAAGAUCACACCCUACACUGGGGGCAAGUGAAAUUUCAAUGAUCAAGAAAGAUGAUAAAGCCAAAAGCUAAAAGAGCCCAAGAAACUCAAAUGCUAGGGAUCAUGCCCACAUCACGAAAAAGGGGGGCAAGUGAAAUUUCAAUGAUCAAGAAAGAGGAUAAAGCAGUGAGAAAGCCAAAAGGAAAAAGAGCCCAAGAAACUCAAAUACUAGGGGGCAUGCCCAUAUCACAAGAAAAAGUGAUAACCAAGAUAAAAUGAGUAUGCUCUAGCGGAGCAAUGAAAAAGAAGAAAAAAGGGGCAAAUCAAAGAAGAGCGGCAAAGGAAAAUAUGAAUGACGUCAAAAGUCAAACUAUUGAUCGUGAUCUUCAGUCUUUAAAACCCUGAAACACUCUUUUAGCCUUAUGAAUCCUUUUCUUUCAUAGCCAAAAACCACAGCCUAUGUUACGUGCUUGUAGAAGUCCUUUCUAAUCAAGCAAGCAAGCAAUCUAGAACAAUAAACAAUGCUCUCAAAAUGCAAAGAAUACUUUUUCAUAAGAUUCAUGACAUCAAGAAUAAACUACUCAUUAUUAUUCAUGCUGAUAAAAAUAAAUGUUCAAAAAGACACAAGUUUUUCUCAUACAAAACCUCGAGCUUUUUCUCGAGCCCUUCACUUCAAAACAAAAGGUCAUCUCAUGAUAUAUUUUCACCCAAAACCUUGUUACCAAACACAAGAGCAAAUAAUCUCUUUUCCUAGAAAGAAAAUAACAAAGGAGUUGCAAGAUUUCAAAAGCAAAUUGUUGAUUGACUCACAUCGAAAUAAUUUUUGUUUUCAAAAUGCAAGAUCAAGAUUUCAAGAUUCAUUCUAGACCCAUAUUCCUCCACCAAACUGAAAAGGAGAGAAAUGAGAGAAUGGCCUCUUAAAACCUUUAUUUAUCUAAGUCGUUGACAGAAGCACACUUAGGGGCAAUAACCAAUACAAGGGGGCAACAUUGUGUUUAGAAGGAAAGAUUCUAGAAAAGGAGAUGGUAAUUUCCUUCAACCAGACAAGGGGGCAUUUUGGUUUACAAAAGACAGCUCGAUCCUUUCAGUAAGUGAUACCGAAUGUUUUUAGCAGUGAGACGAGGGGUAAUGAAUAAUCCUCUCAAAUUAUUUGACGAAUCAGAAAAUCUUUAGCAAGCAAGUGGGUCACGAUGGGCACCACAAAUGCUGAGUUAUGCAAACAAAUUUGGAAGUAGACUUACAUGGGCCAACUCGAGUGGGCUGGAAGUCAAGCGACAAAGAUGACUCAAAUCAGAUAGCAAGAUCUCACCAACUAAUCAACAAGAAGAUUGUGAAGAAAUGGGGGCCUAUAUUUCAAAUCAGGUAAAGAUGCAUGCAUAUCAUCUAAACUUUGAGACAUUGAGCAAUGAUUUCUGCAUUAGAAAAAAAUUCGAACAGAAUCCAUCCAGUGGAAGGCCACCUUGAAAUGGCGAACAUUGAAAUUGCUUUUGAAAAAUUUUCACUUUUGAGAAUUUUUCAACCUGGGCAGGCCGCCCAUGAGAAUUAGGCCACCAAAAAAAUCUCUGUAUUUUUCCACCUUUCAGCCUCAACCUCUGAGUUUUUCGAGCGCGCCUUCGAGCCAUCGACCAUUAGCAUUUCCUAUCCUAUACCUCCAUUCGAGCGCGCCUUCGAGCCCUCGUCUUAUUUUUUUCGAGCGCGCCUUCGAGCCCUCGACCACAAAGGUAGUGCAUUUUCUAUCCUACCUCCAUUCGAGCGCGCCUUCGAGCCGUCGUCUUAUUUAUUUUCGAGCGCGCCUUCGAGCCCUCGACCAUCAAAGGUAGUGCAUUUUCUAUCCUACCUCCAUUCGAGCGCGCCUGGAGCCCUCGUCUACAUUCGAGCGCGCCGUCGAGCCUCGUCUUAUUUAUUUCGAGCGCGCCUUCGAGCCCUCGACCAUCGAAGGUGCAUUUUCUAUCCUACCUCCAUUCGAGCGCGCCUUCGAGCCCUCGUCUUAAUUCGAGCGCGCCUACGAGCCCUCGUCUUAAUUCGAGCGCGCCUUUGAGCCUCGUUUCCAUUCGAGCGCGCCUUCGAGCCCUCGUCUUACAUUCGAGCGCGCCUUCGAGCCCUCGACCAUUAAAGGUAGUGCAUUUUCUAUCCUACCUACAUUCGAGCGCGCCUUUGAGCCCUCGUCUUAUCUCCAUUCGAGCGCGCUUUCGAGCCCUCGUCUUAUCCAUUCGAGCGCGCCUUCGAGCCCUCGUCUUACAUUCGAGCGCGCCUUCGAGCCCUCGACCAUUAAAGGUAGUGCAUUUUCUAUCCUACCUACAUUCGAGCGCCCUUCGAGCCUCGUCUUAUCUCCAUUCGAGCGCGCCUUCGAGCCUCGUCUUAUUUCUCUUCGAGCGCGCCUUCGAGCCCUCGACCAUUAAAGUAGUGCAUUUUCUAUCUUACCUCCAUUCGAGCGCGCCUUUGAGCCUCGUCUUAUCUCAUUGAGCGCGCCUUCGAGCCCUCGUCUUAUUUUUUCGAGCGCGCCUCAAGCCCUCGACCAUCAAAGGUAGUGCAUUUUCUAUCUACCCUCAUUCGAGGCGCGCCUUCAAGCCCCCGUCUUAAAUCUAUUCGAGCGCGCCUUCGAGCCCUCGUCUUACAUUCGAGCGCGCCUUUGAGCCCUUGUCUUAUCUCUAUUCGAGCGCGCCUUCGAGCCCUCAUCUUUUAAAAAUAAAAAUAAAAAAAGAAAAAAGAAAAAAAAGGAUAGGUUGUCUUCCAAAGGACUUGUUUUCUCUAUAAAAGUCCUGUGUCAUCUCUGGUUUUCGAAGUUUUCAAGACUCUAAAAAAAGGCAAAGGUUCUUUCUGUAUCUAAUUUUUUUAUAAAUUUACUACACAAAGCUAAAAGAAAAUGAAUUUUCUUUUACAUUGCAUGUAAAUAUGAUAAAGAGGGGGCAACUGUCAUAACCCAAUUUUUAAACAAAUAAUAAAAAUUAAUAUAGUUAGUAAUUGGGUUAAGACAACAAAUCUUGAUGUUUAAGGAUAAAAUUAUCAGUUUUGAGAAUAAAUUGGUCAAAAAUUGAAGAAUUAAUAAGUUUGGAAAUUUACUUAAAAUUUGGAUUAGUUUAAUUAAUGAAAUUAAAAAAAUUAAUAAGUUUGUGGACUUAAUUAAACUUUAAUUUAAUUAAUUAAAUAAAUUCAGGGACUUAAUUGAAAUUUAUCCAAAAGGGGCAAAAUUGAAAGAAUUAAAUUAAGGACCAAAUUGAAUAAUCCAGGAAUUAAGGACUGUUUUGUAAACAGUGCACCAAUUUAGGGAUUUAAGUGAAAUUUAUCCAAUAAAAGGGCAAAAUUAAAAGAAAUUUUUAAUUUUGCUUAAGGGUCCAAUUGCCAAAUUUCUAAAGUUCAGGGAUCAAAAUGGAAGUGUCCAUUGCUGUUUGAAACGUCGUCGUCGGUGGUAGAAUCCCUUGCUGCCAAAACGCCGCCGUUGUUGGUGGAACAACCGUGUGAUCUUCUUCAUCCCGAUUCAACCGGAGACCUGAAAAUCUGCAACAAAUUCAAUCGUGGACCGAGUCCCUUGCACACGAUCUCGUUCGUGGAGGAUACAGUCCUGCAAAGGCAGGACUGAUUAGAGGCAAGCUUGGGGAUCUCUAUAAAUGAGAGACUAAAAACCAGACACAGGAAGGAGGAAAAAGCCAGAAAAAAAGACGAAAGAAAAAGCCAGAAAAACAAAGAAGAAAAACAACAAAAACAGAGCAAUUCUGUCGCACCCGACAGAGCAAACAAAACACAAUCAAAAAAAGAAAAUACAGAGAGAGGAACGAAGACACAGGGGAAGGGGAAACAGAAAAAAAAAAUAGAGAGGCACACAGAAAUACAUAAAGAAAUAACACGCAGAGCAGGGGAGAAAAAGGGAAGCACACACACAGACAAGGAUUGAUUAUCCCUGCCAUCGUGUUAUCCCUGCAAAAACACAAAAAAUAAAGACAACAAUCGGCAUCCACAGUAAACCGGCAUCUCCAUUGUUGUCUCCUUCGUCAUCUCAAAGUCUGUUAAAAACAAAAAGCAGACCGCGGGCACAAGAACGGAAAAAGCAGAAGAAAAGGUAUCAAGCAGGCGAAAGUCACCACCAGCGUUCCAGCCAGAAUCGUCCCCAUCGCCAGGUACGCGACUUCUUCCUCUUGCAUUGUUUCAGUAAUUGACAUUUACACUGUGCAAGUGAAUUUUAAUUCACUUGCAC
rnacentral:lncRNA from 1 species